rnacentral:rRNA from 1 species
GUCGAGAAUAAUUCACAAUGGACGAAAGUCUGAUGGUGCAACGCCGCGUGGAGGAUGAAGGUCUUCGGAUUGUAAACUCCUGUCAUCGGGGAGUAAGACCUGGCGGUAAAUAGCCGACAGGGUUGAUAGUACCCGAAGAGGAAGGGACGGCUAACUUCGUGCCAGCAGCCGCGGUAAUACGAAGGUCCCAAGCGUUGUUCGGAAUCACUGGGCGUAAAGGGAGCGUAGGCGGCGUGGUAAGUCAGAUGUGAAAUCCCGGGGCUCAACCCCGGAACUGCAUCCGAGACUGCCAUGCUUGAGGGUUGGAGAGGUAGCUGGAAUUCUCGGUGUAGCAGUGAAAUGCGUGGAUAUCGAGAGGAACACUCGUGGCGAAGGCGAGCUACUGGACAACAUCUGACGCUGAGGCUCGAAGGCCAGGGGAGCAAAAGGGAUUAGAAACCCGAGUAGUCC